rnacentral:rRNA from 1 species
AUUGAACGCUGGCGGCAGGCCUAACACAUGCAAGUCGAGCGGACGAAGGGAGCUUGCUCCUGGAUUCAGCGGCGGACGGGCGAGUAAUGCCUAGGAAUCUGCCCGGUAGUGGGGGAUAACGUCCGGAAACGGGCGCUAAUACCGCAUACGUCCUGAGGGAGAAAGUGGGGGAUCUUCGGACCUAACGCUAUUAGAUGAGCCUAGGUCGGAUUAGCUAGUUGGUGGGGUAAAGGCCUACCAAGGCGACGAUCCGUAACUGGUCUGAGAGGAUGAUCAGUCACACUGGAACUGAGACACGGUCCAGACUCCUACGGGAGGCAGCAGUGGGGAAUAUUGCACAAUGGGCGAAAGCCUGAUCCAGCCAUGCCGCGUGUGUGAUGAAGGUCUUCGGAUUGUAAAACACUUUAAGUUGGGAAGAAGAGCUGUAAAUUUAUACCUUGCUGUUUUGACGUUACCUACAGAGUAAGCCCCGGCUAACUUCGUG